GCCGCGGCGGCCGCCCAGCCUCGUCGACGCGCUCACGCGGCCCGGAGGGGGCCCCGAGGUCAUGAUUACGCGCGCGGGGACAGGGAGCUCUGCCUGCCCGCACUCUCAGGCGGCCCAGUCUGGGGAAAGGGGAGCGAUGCCUCGGGGGAAAGGGGCCUUUCUUUCCCACGCGUGACCAGCCGGCCCUUCGCUCCCUGCCCGCCUUGAAGGGCUCUCGGCCCACUACCCCUCCCUGCCCACUCCAGGCCCUCUCGACAGUUGCGGCGGGUUCACCCUUCCCCACCCCCCUCGACUCCGCGCACAGGACGGGAUAUGGCCCCGGGAACCCGGACCUCACCCGCACUCUCCCCUGGGCCCCUAACACCAGCCAGAAAAUGACUUUAUCUGCCAAGAGGAGGCAACUUCGGGGAAAAAAAAAAAUCCGAAUUAACCCACUUCCCCUCCCGCGCCGCCCUGUGAAUAAAUAAAAUCCGAAGUAGCUAGGUGUGCGGUCCACUCUUCUGCUCUCUUGCUCCCCUCCCUACCUCCCCCAGGCGGCUCGGGUAGGGGAAAGCAACGCCUGGGGGGCCCGGUGCGGGCGGCUGGUGCGCAGGCAUAAACGUUAGGCUUCAGCUUUCCCAGCCCCCUUCUAUGGUGCAAUGUGGGGACCCAGGAGUGGGAAGAGAGUAGGGGCUUUGUGGUGCUGGGAGCUGAGGAAGAAAGAAAUGUGCAGUUGAGUGUGUUGCUGCAUCCCAGGGAGCAAUGCAGUGCUGAUUGUCUGUUCCUGAGAUAGCCUUUUGUUCGGAACAUAAGGUUUAAGAAACACACACACGUUUUCUGGGGUCUCUUGUUAGAUGUAAAUGUGCUGCAUCCAGACACUUACUAUGCAAUGUAAGCUCAGUUGGUUUACUAAUCACCCCGCCCCACCCCCAACAACCAGGAUCAUUUGAAUGGGAACCUCAUUCAGACUUCUAGGCUGCGAGUACUGCCUUCAACCUAUUUCAUUCUAGACUAGCCAACCAUCCAACUGAGAUAAUAAAGCAAACAAUAACAUUUGAUCAUGAUGUCUACGAGAUAAUGUGCCCAGCAAAGUUCUUUAGAAAUUGUAAUGAGAAAGAGAGUGAGUGGGGUAAUAAUUUCUCUUCGUUUUCAUUAAAUAUGACUUUAAUAGAUAAAUGGUUAAGUUUAUACUUUGGCCUGGUGGACAUCCGGUCCUCUAUAUUUCAACUAAGCUAAGAAUGAAAGAGGCAAAUUAAAUAUUCGACCAGUAGCCCAUCAAGCUGAAAAUGUUACCCUUGAAGGUUGGAACUGAAAAUAUACUAGUAUAGGACUGACCCUCCUCAUAACGAGCUGGUUAUUCACAUUUACCCCGCUUCUCUGCUGCAGAUUUAAUAGAGUAAAUUGCAGCUCUCCAGAUGAUGAAAUGCAGCUUUUAAAAUAUACCAAAUAUAUACUCUGAAAUUAAUUUCAUUCUCAUGUGUUUUUCUUACCUUUGGAUGGAUAGCUAUUGAAUGGAUGCGUUUAGCUAACACAAUAAGAAAGAAAAAGUGUUUUAGUUAAAUCUAGACAGACGACAAUUUAAAAUAAAAAAAGGUGAUUCAAGAUCUUACUAAAUAUUUCUAGGGAAUGAAAUUCUAUUUCGAAUAGAUUUGACCUUUCUGUACAUUUUUAAAAACCAGACUGCAAAAUAAAACAGAAGAACUUUAUUCUGAUGUAACAGAACACUGAAGCCCCUUUAGUUAUAUUUUACAAGAUAGCUUUGAAAAUGAUAUUAUGAGAAGUUGCUCAUUGGAUUUCACCACAAAGAAAUAAGUGGAGGAAAGUAUCUAUGGGUCACUGUUGAACUGAGUACAGAUGAAUUAAACAACUGUGAAGAAUUUAUAAUUUCAGUUAUCACUCAUGUGGAGAAUGCCUAUGAGAAGUCCUCUGUGCAAUUCAGGCAAAACUGCUCUGUUCUUGUUUGUUAAAAAAAAGUUCAAAGCUCAUCAACCUUUAACACUAAAUUCCCAGUAUUGAAUUUACAGUUCCUCUUGUAAACCAAAAUACUGAAUAUAAAAGAAAUAAUGACAUAACCAUUGAGUUAAAAACAAUGUAUUUUGAUUAUCAACUUAAAGCAAUUCAUUUUCAAUAUCUAAAACAAAAUAAGCCCUACUUUUAAAAGGGGGCAGGAAAAGUGUGGUUAGCUGAAGUUUAUUAGUAGAUAAGAAGUAUUUUUUUCAAUUCUUAUAUAUUCAUUUGAAAUACACAUUUUUAUAUUCACUAUUCAAUAUAUGAAUGAACAUAAUUAACUUUGGAAUCAAAGAAAGGGAAACUAUUCAAAGGAGCACUGCUUAUAUUUACACUCAGUUUCCAAAGUAUAUGUAAUUCCAAAAAUUACAUAUACUCCCAGGAAAAAAAAGGCUUAUAUAAUAGAAUAUUAUGGGAUUUAUAUGACUAAUAAAAUCCACAGUGGAGUUUGCCAUCUCACUCUUUCUAGUUUUUCUUUCUUUCUUUCUUUCUUUCUUUCUUUCUUUCUUUCUUUCUUUCUUUCUAGGUUUGGGUAAAGGUGCUUUUUUCUUCAAUUACAUUUUGCAGAGGAAUAUGAUCAUUUGUUUUUCAAGAGGAUUCUUUGCAAAAUUAGCACAACAUUUACAGUUUUUGUUGUCUUAAUACAAAAUAUAAUGAUGUGGCACAAUUAAAUAGAAUUCUAGUAGUCACCAUAUUCUAUCUAUAUUUAUUUUUUAAGCUUUAUUCAAAAAAAUGUUUCUGGUUGUGAUCCAUCUCUAUAGUAUAUUUUGUGGAAUUUUUCUUGUGAUGAUAUGAGAAUAAGAAAUUGAGUCUAAAGAAAGUGGAUUGGCUAGCCAAGGAAGUAGUUAAUUCAGUGAAAAACUGGGCUUUUGCCACUCCAUUUUAUGCAUUGCUUUUCUCUUUCUUUUACUUUUUUAAUGUAGAGAUUUUAUACACACCCAUGUAUACAUAUAUAAUGAAUUUUUAAUAUACAGUAUAUUCUGACUUGGCUUUUUCCGAAAAUAAAAAUAAUCAUAAGUAUCCUUUUUUUCCUUCAGGAGUGUGUGUGAGUGUGUGUUCCUUUCAAGCUAAUUCAGGGGAAAUUUUUUUUUUACUUUUUCCUGUUCUCAUUCUCAAUACACAUAUAAACAACAACAAAGUGAAAGGUAAGGAAAUAAGCAAGGAGGUAUUGAAUGGGAUUUUGCAGAUGACAUUAUAUUUGUCUGCACUAGACUAAGGAUAAUUUGUUAGACACAGAGAUGUGCUUUACCUAUGUGAUGGGAAAGGAAAAAGAAAGGAAAAGAUGAGGGUAGAUGGAAUGUAGAGAAGAUGAGAUAAGGGUGACAAGAAGCUUUACAGAGAAAGUAUCAUGUUUGGUUUGUCAUGAAAUAUUUGACACGAUUCACUUUAAUUUUUAAACUGUUUUUUAAUUUCAAACUUAAGGAUUAACUCUUUUAAUAAAACAUUAAACUAGUAAUUUCUUCCAAACUACUGUUUCAAAAAACAUUCCAAGACUUAGUAGCUAUUUAUUAGACCUACACAUUUUUUUCAUAUUGCUCACAAAAUGCAAAGUAGGUGUUACAAUAAUGCAAACUAUUGGCACAAUAAUUUUUUAAUGUUUCCUUAAAAAUAGCAAUUUAAGAAUCUCAUUUGCACUUCGGUUCAACUAAGACCACCAAGAAGUUUUUAUGCACUACCUACUAUCCUUCUUCCCCCCCAAAAAUAGUGAAGACCUUGACCUCAUUUUUGUGAAAUUACUCAAUUUGUUAGAAUUACACUUGAAUACAGGUACUGUCAAAUAGUAUUAGAGUGGUCUAUAUAUCUCCUCUGUGAUCUAACCCUACGGUGGAGAGAAAACCGGAAAAUCCUGUGAUAGGUGCACCAGAGAUGUUUUCUUGGUUUUGCGAAAGUGUUUUCUUCUAAAAAUCUGAGGUGGUUUUUUUGUGUGUAUUUUUUGUCAUUCACUCUUUAAAUGGUGGUAGUGUUCAUAUAUUCGCUGCAACAUCUGCCUGAUUUUGCAUGAUUCUCAACUUCAUUUAGGAAGCACACAUUGAACAGUUACCAUGGUUUAAAACUGCAGAGAAUUUAAAGAAAUCUGACAUUAACAUUUUAUGGAUGUGGCCAGAUAAAUAUAGUUCAAAGUGAAUGUUGAACUACAAUAAGUGACUUAUAAAAGCAUUCUAUCCAGAAGAUAUGAGUUCCUUCAUGAGGGAGAGAGCAGUCCUCCUGGCCUUUGUAGUCUCAAUCUUUAUUUUCUAAUAAAGCAAACCACUUAUAGUUUUCAUACACCUUGUCCUUUGUCCCUUCUGUGACUUGCUUCUCAUUGUGCCUGUGGUUUGCGCUCCUUUUUUGUGGGCUAAUUCCCUGCAGACUCUCAGCUCUCAUCUCCUUCAAGGAGACUUCCCAGCCUUCCUAGGGGUGUUCAUUAUAUCCCCCUGGGCUCUUUUCAGACUCUAUUAUGUCUCUUUCUCUACACUUUCACAUCAUUUAAAAAAUAUCUUUGUGUUUGACCCCUCUGUUAGACUGUAAGUAUCUUGAGGGCAAGCAAUUAUUGUAACCUCCAUCUUUAUUUUGUUUUUGUUUUCCCAUCCAGUGCUAAAAAUAGUGAAAAUCCUUGUUGAAUGUUUGUUGAGAAAAUUACCAAGUUGAGGUAUAGAGGAAAUAAGAAUUUGCAAGGGCAGUGAGGAAGGAAAUUACUGGGGCCUUUGCAGAAAACAGCAUAUAAUCUAGUUUGGUUGAACAUUUGCUCGACACAGGUACAAAGGGGGAAAUAAGGAUGGGAAUAAGAAUGGAGUAUGCAUUACAGAGGAACUUCACUCAGUCCUUGGAUGAGAGGUUUGCAUUGCAUAGGUAGGUAACAGGAAGCUCCGAAAGGUUUUUAAGCAAGAGAUUUAUGAGGUCUGAGCCCUGCUUUAAGAAGAUAUAGCUAAUAGAACUGAGAACAGGGAGACCAGCUGGGAAGUUAUUGCAACGGUCUAUCAUUUUCUGGUCCCUCAAACUGUCAAUCCUUCUUGUAGGGUUUGGUGAUAUGCUUCCUUGCCUUUUUUAUAGAUGGUCUAUCUGUAUUGAUUGCUCAAUACUGAACGUUCAUUUUGUAAUAUUACAAAAUGUCAGUGUGUUUAAGGCAUUCAUUUAAUACCAAAGAUAUAAAAAAGAGACAAUACAUUGGAAUGAAAUGUUUUUCUUUCUCAAACUGAACGUAGUCUUUCUUCUCAUUAUUUCGCCUCCCCCUCCCCACCACCACCACUGCCACUUUACAAUUAGUUCCACUCAGCCUGUGCUUUUAGCUUAGCAGGUAUUUCAUUUUCAAGAGAAGUAAUGCCUGGAGAUAAGAAAAGUUCCUCCCUGGAGUAUGUUUGAGCAAGCAAAAUAAGCAAAGUGAAUUUGGUUUUUAUAUACUGGAUAAAAAUAUAGAUGCACAUUUCCUUCAUUUAAAGUAUAUUAAAGUUUCCUAAACAGGAUUUUUAAUUCAUUUAAAACGGCAUUAGGUUAGGUGGGCUGUUGGUGCUUUGAAUUAAUGUGCAAGCUGUUAAUCUCCAUAGACCUGGAUUUAAAAUUAGACAAAGCAAUAAUUAGUUUGGCACCAUCAUUUCACUACCCAGAGGGUAAUAAUGUAGGUCAUAAAAUACUACAGCCUGGCACAAGGUUUUUGUACAAAACAAGGAUCUAGUAUUAGGUGGUG
rnacentral:lncRNA from 1 species